rnacentral:rRNA from 1 species
GAUGAACGCUAGCGGCAGGCCUAAUACAUGCAAGUCGAACGGAUAUAUGUUUUUCGGAAUAUAUAUUAGUGGCGCACGGGUGAGUAACACGUACAUAACUUGCCCUCAAGCGGGGGAUAGCCUUGGGAAACUGAGAGUAAUACCCCAUAGAAUUAUUGGACGGCAUCGUUUGAUAAUUAAAACUACGGUGCUUGGGGAUAGAUGUGCGUCUGAUUAGCUAGUUGGUGAGGUAACUGCUCACCAAGGCGACGAUCAGUAGGGGGGCGUGAGAGCGUGGCCCCCCACACGGGUACUGAGACACGGACCCGACUCCUACGGGAGGCAGCAGUAAGGAUAUUGGUCAAUGGAGGGAACUCUGAACCAGCCAUGCCGCGUGAAGGAUGA